rnacentral:piRNA from 1 species
UGAUACUUUCCAAGCAUCAGUGUGUCAGAC